UUGAAAAAAAAGAACCUGCAGUAGUAACAGGUAUGAAGUACAGGUAGAAUAAGAAUUACCAAAAAUGAAAAUUAACCUGGACCCUCACUUAUUUUAGUGAUAUGAGAGAGCUAUAAUUCCAGAUAGACUUCUGGACUAAAAAUGACUAGCAUUUAAGAUAUUUAGGUUCAUUUUUUAAGGGAACGGGGAUAUUACUAUGGCUAAUUCUUCUCCAUGAGUGCUUAUAUUGAUGAUAUGAUUCGCAUAAGAAAAAAAUUUUUGUGCCUGAGCUUUGCUUUGAUUGAAUUUGAGAAAUCUUAUAAUUAAUUAGUAUUAUUUACAUGGUACAUUAUUUAGCUGGUUCUAAAUUUAUAUAGAGAUACAUUCAUUUGUUAGAUUAUGUUGAAUUUACUAAAAUGUUGUAAUAUUUGUGCAUCAGAAAUGAACUACUCACAGUUGAAGGACAAUGGCAUUUGCAGACAGAGGUUUGAGAGUCAAGUGUAUGCUUUGUUCAUGAUAAGUGAAACUGAAUAAAAUUAUAAGCAGCCUGAUACCAAUAUCUAGCUUCUAUCAUGUGGCUUCAUUAGAUUUAUUUUAAGUGGAAAAUAUAUGUUAUGAAUAAUGCCAUUGGUUUGGUUCGGUUUGGUUUGGUUUGGUUUGGUUUGGUUUUCUGUCCUGGCUUCCUGGAAGCUACAGCCAAAAGCUGGUUAACACUAAGACUUUAUUUCAGCAUAAAGGCCCUGACAAUUUCUUGAAGCCAAGAUAUCUUAUUUGCUUUGAUUUGACUGUGUUUGGUGAAUCACUGGUCCAUAUACAAAGGAAUGCGCCCCCCUUUUUAAGUAAUAUCCUUCCUGUAGAUAUCACAGAGGAACAUUUGAACAAUGCAAACAUGAAAUAUGUUUCAUCUUUGACUACUGCCCUAAUCCUGUCCUCACAGAUAAAGACAAAUCAGGAAUAGGACUAUUUAGCCCAAUUCCCCUGGGCACCAUUAACUACUCAGUUGUCUCAUACUGAACCUCUCAGAUCUCCCAUCUACUUGGGACUAGAAUUUAAAGAUGUCAUCCCCGGUAAGAGAUUACAGGACCAAGAAGUAGUAGUUGAGGGUGGUGCCGUGGUUUGUGUGAAUGAGGGCAACUUGUCUUGAGAUGUGAUUACACAAAAAGUAUGUUUAAUUGAAUUACACUGGGGCCUAGAAGAGAUAAAAAUCCUGGAUUGUGAAGUGGGAGUGGGGGUUCCUAGAUUCACUGGAGUAGAAACUCUAUGGGCUUCAGAUAAUAAAUCCCAUGGGAGAAACCUUUCAUCCACAUGUUUAUGUCUCCUUUCAGGUGAGCAAUGAUUUCUUUUAUACUAAGCAGAUUUUAGUCUUUUAUUCUCUUUUUUUUGGAAAUUAUACAUCAACUCUCUUUUACCUCGUCUAUGUAUUAUGUAGCUUAGGCUGCCUUUGAUAACUGAGAAAUGCAAAAUAGACUUAAAACUAGUAAAAGACUUAAUCUAGGGCAUUUAGGUUUAUUCUUUCAGUCAAUAUACAUAUAUUAUGGGUUAUUUUUCUCCAUGAGUCAUGUGUGUGUGUGUGUGUGUGUGUGUGGUGUGUGUGUGUGUGUAUGAUCAUAUACAUAUAUAAUGAUCCUCAUCAGGAGAAUUUUACUUUUUUUUUUUUUUUUGCCAUUUCUUGGGCAGCUCCCGCGGCAUAUGGAGGUUCCCAGGCUAGGGGUCCAAUCGGAGCUUUAGCCACCGGCCUACACCAGAGCCACAGCAACGCGGGAUCCGAGCUGCGUCUGCAACCUACACCACAGCUCACAGCAACGCCGGAUCGUCAAUCCACUGAGCAAGGCCAGGGAUCGAACCCACAACCUCAUGGUUCCUAGUCGGAUUCGUUAACCACUGCGCUGCGACGGAAACUCCGAAUUUUACUUUUUAUUUGAGUUUGUUUACUGAAAAUCGAGAAAGUUUUGUGAUUCAACAGUAUCAUUUCUAUGGUGCAAUAUUUUGUUGGUUCUAAAUGCCCAAGUAGACAAAUUCAAUACUUUCAUAUUAUUUCAGGGUUUUAAUGUUUUACAUUUGUGUAUUAUUUUUGGAUUCUGACUAUUCGAGGAUCCUGACAAUUGUGAAUCCUUGAAGUCCAGAUAUUUAUUUUCCUGUGGAUGUAAAAAUGAAUAAAAUUAGGAUCUUCCUGGUAUCUUAUUUACUUUUUAGGAAAAGUAGUCAUAAAAUAUAGUUUUCAUUUUUGACUACUGUCAUACUCCUGUCCCCUUAGAUAAAGUCUACUGAGAAAGACGACUUUAUGCCCACCUACACUAGGGACACAUAAAAGCUAACCAGAUUAACUUCACUGAAUCUACCCAAACCCCAGUCCACUUUGGCACAGAUUUUUAAGGCAAUCUUGGUUAGACUUUUUAGGAUCAAAUAAAUGUAUUGGUGGAGUGCCAUAACUUGUGUCUUGAGAUUUGAUGACAUAAAAAUUAUGCUAAUCCCCAGCAUGGGUGCCAUUCUUGGGAAGGGAUAUAGGAAUGUUCAAGGUUAUGUGAAACAAAGCUAUGGAAACAGAUAUGAUUUUAAAAAAAGAGUGAGAAGUCAUUGAAAAUUUUAUUAAGAAUCUGUGUUGUAGAGCGAAAGUAUCAGGUUGUACAGAGUUUGCCUAGUGACCUGGAAGAAGGGGAUUAAAAAACAGUCAUGCUAUUAAAUGACAAAAUGGGAACUGCUGUAUCAUAGAAACUAAUUUAUUUUUCAUUUAAAUAUGAAGAAUAUUGGCCCUAUACUUUUGUAACUCCAGCAACUCAAAUGCCUAUUAGAAUGUAUUAAGGACUGCUGCAGAUACUGAAAAUGUUAAAAGCCCAUAUGCCCUCCCCCUAGUGCUCUAAGAGAUCCACAAAAAUUACCUGAGGUGUUCUGUACUUUGUUUUCAGUCUACAAACAUUUACAUGGGUCUGCAUGCUGGCUGCUAUACAAAUUGUUGUCUAUUUGACUUUCUUUGACUGAUGAAACAGGCACAAAGAAAGCAAAAUGGUAACCUCUCCACACUAGGGAAUUCUAAGUUGUCAGGAAUCCAACUGCGCACUUUCUCCAACAACUCAGACUAUUCUGUUCUUUGUACCUUAGAAACUUAGCAUAAAGCACUACUGACAAGAUUCCUUGAAAAUUUUCUGCAGAAGGUAAACUGAGAGACUCAGCUAAAUCCUGCACUCAGAAGCUGAGUCCUUCAUUGUGUUUAAUUACAGUUCACUGAAGCACUUCCUAAGGUUACAACUAUAAAUACAUAUGAAGAUCAGAAUAGACCUUGAAACCCCCCCCAAUUUUAUGUCAUUUUUUUUUGCUAAGAAUUCAAAUACAAGUAAGAUGGAAGUUCCUGUCGUGGCACAGCAGAAACGAAUCGGACUAGGAACCAUGAGGUUGCGGUUUCAAUCCCUGGCCCCACUUAGUGGGUUGAGGAUCUGGCAUUGCUGUGGCUGUGGCAUAGGCCAGCAGCUACAGCUCUGAUUAGACCCUUAGCCUGGGAACCUCCAUAUGUUGUGGGUGUGGCCCUAAAAAGACAAAAAAUAUAUAAGUAAGAGAAAAAGUAGUUUGAUGGAAAGAACAAAUGGUUUCUCAGAUAGUGGCGGCUACAACCAGCUUUGAUAAAAUAUGUAGAAGAAACUUAAGAUGCAGUUUAUCUACCUAGUUAUAAUUAUUUAUAAGGGAACACAACUUAUCUGAGGCCCUCAACAAAGAAUGCAUACCCUAAUGGAAAGUCAAUAAUUCACUAACGAAAAGUCAAGACAUUGGAAAAAAGAAUGCUGAAAGAGACUAAGAUUCAAGGCAUACAAUCUAUCUCUAAAAUUUUACCAUCACCUCAAGAGAAUCUUCCCCACCCCAGGAAAUCAGACGGAAAAUGAUUGGCAAAUGGUGAAAAAUAAUAAACCAAAUUGACACGAGAGAACCUUAGAACUGGAAAUGAAAUAGACUUUUCUGUUACUUUUCCCCAUCUCAGACUUUUCCAAUCCUUUCUUCUGGGUACUAAAGCCAUGGAUUCCGCAAUUUCUACUCCCUUUGUUGUUUAACCUGGAAAACAUCCAAGGUAUGGAUGUUUCUGGAUGACCUUCUACCAGUUCUGUACCCUCUGAAGUUCCUAUGUAAACAGGUAGCCCCUUAGAAGAAUAUAUCUUGUAUACUGAUGUGCUUGAUAAUCUGUUAAAAAUGGACCUGCUGUGUACUUUCAUAAACUUUUGCUUUUGUUUAUUUCAACUUGAAGACAGCCCUUGAACACUUCUUAUAAAGGAGGUCUAGUGGUGAUAAGCUCCCUCAAUUUUUUUUUGUUUAACUGGUAAAGUCUUAAUCUCACCUCUAUUGUUAAAGGACAGUUUUACCGGUUUACUAGUAAUAUUCUUGGUUGGCGAGAUUUUUUUUUUCCUUUCAGUAUUUUGAAUAUGUCAUUCUUUUAUCUCCUGGACUACAAGAUUCCUGCUGGGGAGUUCCCACUGUGGCUCAGUGGUUAACAAAUCUGACUAGGAACCAUGAGGUUGUGGGUUUGAUCCCUGGCCUUGCUCAGUGGGUUAAGGAUCCAGCAUUGCCAUGAGCUGUGGUGUAGGUCACAGACACAGCUCGGAUCCCAUGCUGCUGUGGCUGUGGCGUAGGCCAGCGGCUACAGCUCCGAUUAGACCCCUAGCCUGGGAAUCUCCAUAUGCCAUGGGUGUGGCCCCAGAAAAGAAAAAAAAUAAAAGACUCCUGGAGUUCCCGUCGUGGCGCAGUGGUUAACGAAUCUGACUAGGAACCAUGAGGUUGCAGGUUCGAUCCCUGCCCUUGCUCAGUGGGUUGACGAUCCAGCGUUGCCGUGAGCUGUGGUGUAGGUCGCAGACGCGGCUCGGAUCCUGCGUUGCUGUGGCUCUGGCGUAAGCUGGCAGCUACAGCUCUGGUUAGACCCCUAGCCUGAGAACCUCCAUAUGCCG
rnacentral:lncRNA from 1 species